CUACGGGGCGCUGCAGUAAGGAAUAUUGCACAAUGGGGGAAACCCUGAUGCAGCAACGCCGCGUGGACGAAGAAGGCCUUCGGGUCGUAAAGUCCUUUUCUGAGGGAAGAGGAAGGACGGUACCUCAGGAAUAAGUCUCGGCUAACUACGUGCCAGCAGCCGCGGUAAAACGUAGGAGGCGAGCGUUAUCCGGAUUCACUGGGCGUAAAGGGCAAGUAGGCGGUUGUUUAAGUUAGGUGUGACAUCUCUCGGCUUAACUGGGAGGGAGCGCUUAAAACUAGGCAACUAGAGGGCGGAAGAGGGGGGUAGAACUCCAAAUGUAGCGGUGGAAUGCUCAGAUAUUUGGAAGAAUACCAGUGGCGAAGGCGACCCCCUGGUCCGUGCCUGACGCUGAGAGGCGAAAGCUAGGGUAGCGAACGGGAUUAGAUACCCCUGUAGUC
rnacentral:rRNA from 1 species